GGAAGUAAAAGUCGUAACAAGGUCUCCGUUGGUGAACCAGCGGAGGGAUCAUUACCGAGUUAUACAACUCCCAAACCCACUGUGAACCUUACCUCAGUUGCCUCGGCGGGAACGCCCCGGCCGCCUGCCCCCGCGCCGGCGCCGGACCCAGGCGCCCGCCGCAGGGACCCCAAACUCUCUUGCAUUACGCCCAGCGGGCGGAAUUUCUUCUCUGAGUUGCACAAGCAAAAACAAAUGAAUCAAAACUUUCAACAACGGAUCUCUUGGUUCUGGCAUCGAUGAAGAACGCAGCGAAAUGCGAUAAGUAAUGUGAAUUGCAGAAUUCAGUGAAUCAUCGAAUCUUUGAACGCACAUUGCGCCCGCCAGCAUUCUGGCGGGCAUGCCUGUUCGAGCGUCAUUUCAACCCUCGAGCCCCCCCCGGGGGCCUCGGUGUUGGGGGACGGCACACCAGCCGCCCCCGAAAUGCAGUGGCGACCCCGCCGCAGCCUCCCCUGCGUAGUAGCACACACCUCGCACCGGAGCGCGGAGGCGGUCACGCCGUAAAACGCCCAACUUUCUUAGAGUUGACCUCGGAUCAGGUAGGAAU
rnacentral:rRNA from 1 species